UCUACGGGAGGCAGCAGUGGGGGAUAUUGCACAAUGGGGGAAACCCUGAUGCAGCGACGCCGCGUGUGGGAAGACGGUCCUCUGGAUUGUAAACCACUGUCCCCAGGGACGAAGAUGACGGUACCUGGGGCGGAAGCUCCGGCUAACUACGUGCCAGCAGCCGCGGUAAUACGUAGGGAGCGAGCGUUGUCCGGAAUUACUGGGUGUAAAGGGAGCGUAGGCGGGACUGCAAGUUGGGUGUCAAAUCUACCGGCUCAACCGGUAGCCGCACUCAAAACUGCAGUUCUGGAGUGAAGUAGAGGCAGGCGGAAUUCCUAGUGUAGCGGUGAAAUGCGUAGAUAUUAGGAGGAACACCAGUGGCGAAGGCGGCCUGCUGGGCUUUGACUGACGCUGAGGCUCGAAAGUGUGGGGAGCAAACAGGAUUAGAUACCCGUGUAGUC
rnacentral:rRNA from 1 species